rnacentral:lncRNA from 1 species
GACCAAACUUUAAUAUUUCAAGGGCACCCCAAAUGAGUUACUGGUGGGGUUACAUAACCUUUCAUUCAUGCCACCAAACCAAGAUUCAUGAAUUCUGAAAGUUAAAGUUGAUUACCUCUUUGGAUACAUAAAAAAUAUAUAUAUUAAAGCAUGUCACACAGUGCAAAAAAAAAAAAAAAAAGAGGCAUCCAGCAGAUGAAAAAUAGGCUCUUGGAAAAGCCCAAAGCAGCAGGCUGAUUGUCCUAACAAGAGGACAGAGAAACUCUUUCUGUAGGAAAUAAAGCUGCCUCAGCCAAAGAGAGAUCCAGACAUGGGUUUUGAUGGAUUCUUAUUACAACCAAAGACAAGCUCAAAGAAAGUGGAAGUUCAGAUUUCCCAUGGGUGCAGUUGGAUCUUGCAUCCAAGAGAAUGCUUGGUUGACUUCUCAUAUGCAGGCUGAGCAAGAAGCAAGCAGCAAGACUUAGCCAGUGAUAAGAUCAGGAUAAGACCCUAACUCCCACAAAUGACUCCAGGAAAGGGAGACCACCACUCCCCGAGCUUUGGAGCGCCGCGCGGGAACCCCAGCUGGCAUAUCCGAAUGGGCUGAGCUACCGGAUUAAGAGGGACACCCCAAAGCCCCCAUUGCUGGGUUAUUGCUCCAGAGCCAAUGUUCUUGGGGAAAGGAAGAUAUGCCCUUUGUCAACAUUGCCACUGCUGGUCUGUAAACUCCUAGACGGCCAGCUGGUGGUUCACAAACCAGGACUCCUUGCUCUGGCCCUACCCCUACCUACCAGAAUGACCGUGAACCCUUCCCCACUCACUCCUACAACCAGGUUUCCAUCUCCUCUCUCAGCUUAGGUUUCCCUAACUGUAAAAUAAAAGGGUUGGACUAGGUUAAGGACUUCCUGCUAUUUCUCUCUCCCACACUCUAAGGUUCCUUAGGAAUGCUUCAGAAAACAGCAGGGGUUGGGGCAAGGAUGCCGCUUGAGUCCCAGAGCAACUCCAAUUUCAUAGGCACAUAAAUUUAUGUGAAAGUA